CUCGUCAUUGUUUUUGCUAAUUUCCUAUUGUAGACCAAGCCUCUGAUUAUUUUUUCCAGACUUGAAGAAGAGCUCUGUGCAGCUUGAAAGCUUGUGUCUUCCAGAAGUUGCGUCAACAAAAGAUAUCUCACCUACGUUGUCUCCCUCAGAUAAUCGAUCAAGAACCUUGCUCACCAUCGAGGUUUAGCACCUUCACUUGUAUUCAGCAAGGCUUUAAGCAAGCCCUGGUCAUCGUCAACCAGGUGCGUCACUACCUUCACUUUCCUGAUGUGAACGUCAAAAGCUGUCAGAUUUUACCAGAUUCUUCUUUCACUGGUAACAAUCCUGAGUGAAGUCUUAAUAACAACCCUGUUCUACUCCUCCACAAGUCGUCAUUUCAGAACAUAAAAUUAUUGUG
rnacentral:lncRNA from 1 species